AAAAAAGAAUGAUAGAAAACAGUGGAUUCUUCGGGGGAUCAUGUACUCUCCUGCUUUGUCACUCUUUUACUUGCUUUCUGUUUCACUUCUCAGAUCUUCACUAAGCAUUUGGAGUUUUACAGCUCAUCAUAUUAAAGUUAGUUAAGGAAAAAAGAAGAAAAGGGGUUAGUUUUUCAGCAGCAUGGUGUUGGUUGAGCUUACAAAAAAGCCCCUAUCAUUUUGGAUGGAUUUUAACUGUGUUGUGGAUCUAAUUGUUUUUAACUUCAAGCUACACUAAAUUCUUUGAUCACCGUUACACCACACUGAUGAAAAGUAAAUCUACAUAUUUGAUGUAUUCUUACAACCAAGAAGUGAAAUAAUUGAGGAGCUAAUAUGGACUACAAUUAUUAAAAGAAGGAAUAAAAUUCAAGUGAUCUCACCAAGCUAUAAUUAUGUGGGCAGAAAGAGUGAUAUGGGAGAAUCACAUUCUUCAGACCACCCGUCUAUCUCGCACAGGCAGACAGAGCACGUCAUGGGUCCUGUCUCCCAAAAUUGGAGAAAUUGGAGAAAUUCUUCAGGAAAUUGGAGGAGAAUGAAGUCCCUCUACCUGUUUGCACCUCCUGUCAUAUAUCAUUCUCUGAAUUCUAGGAAUUCCUCUUCAGGUAAAAGAAUAGUGAGAACUUCCCCCUGUCAUUAGCACUAAGAUACUAAAUCACCCCUUGUUGACAUUCCUAAACACCAUCCACACAUUUAUAAUGGCCUCUUCAUUAAACUCUCC
rnacentral:lncRNA from 1 species